GUGAGGAAUAUUGCGCAAUGGAGGCAACUCUGACGCAGCCAUGCCGCGUGCAGGAAGAAGGCGCUACGCGUUGUAAACUGCUUUUAACCGGGAAGAAACCCCAGGACGUGUCCUGGGUUGACGGUACCGGAGGAAUAAGCACCGGCUAACUUCGUGCCAGCAGCCGCGGUAAUACGAAGGGUGCAAGCGUUAUCCGGAUUCAUUGGGUUUAAAGGGUGCGUAGGCGGAGCGUUAAGUCAGUGGUGAAAUCCUGCAGCUUAACUGUAGACUUGCCAUUGAUACUGGCGCUCUUGAGUGCGCUUGAAGUGGGCGGAAUGUGCCGUGUAUCGGUGAAAUGCUUAGAUAUGGCACAGAACACCAAUUGCGAAGGCAGCUCACUAAGGCGAUACUGACGCUGAGGCACGAAAGCGUGGGGAUCGAACAGGAUUAGAUACCCCUGUAGUCC
rnacentral:rRNA from 1 species